UUACAUUUCCUUCCCUUUGUUUACCUUUAUUAAUAUAAAUACUAAUUUAUAGUUGGCAGCUGGUGUGUGCUGUUUUUAACUAAUUUUUAUACUUUCAUUGUAACACCCAUAUUUUACCCGCCCGAGCUCAAAAUUAAAACCCAAAUAAAAUAUAAUAAUAAAUGUCCAGUUUCUUUACAAAUUCAAACCAAAACAAAAUCAUUUUCUACCCAACCCACUAAGCCUAAUCAUUUUCUGCCCCAGCCCAAUACGAACCUAACCCACUAAACCUAAUCAGCUAACCCUGACCCAACCUAGCCCAAAGCAUUCCCCAAAACCGAAACCCUAGCUUUCAGUAACCAGUGACGCCGCCGUCGAACCCAGGGCCUCUUCCGCACGUGCUGCACCUCCAUGCGCGUGCGUCUCCUCCAGCUGGCCUUCGUACAACGCCACGUCCAGCCCCCGUACGAUCGUACCUGCGCGCAAACAAACAAAGGCAGCAGAGAACAAACCAAUUGUUUUUUUUCAUUUUUAUUUUCAAUUUUAUCCAAUUAUUUUUGGGUUCUUUGUCAAAAAUAGGAGAAUAUAAGAACCGAAAGUUUUUUUGUACUACUACUUACGCAUUCAAUAUACAAGAAUUGAGAACAAAAAAAUCAAGGAGAAAAAGGUGAUUUCCUGGUCUUUUCGUUUGGCCUGUUAUUUCUUUUUUUUUUCUCUUACGCAAACGGAUGGGGGGUUAUUGAUUUCUGAUGCGGCGCAGGGG
rnacentral:lncRNA from 1 species